rnacentral:rRNA from 1 species
UACGUAGGUGGCAAGCGUUGUCCGGAUUUAUUGGGUUUAAAGGGUGCGUAGGCGGCUUUGUAAGUCAGUGGUGAAAUAUGGCAGCUCAACUGUCAGGGUGCCAUUGAUACUGCGGAGCUUGAGUACAGAUGAGGUAGGCGGAAUUGACGGUGUAGCGGUGAAAUGCUUAGAUAUCGUCAAGAACACCGAUAGCGAAGGCAGCUUACUAGGCUGUAACUGACGCUGAGGCACGAAAGUGUGGGGAGUCAAACAGG